ensembl:lncRNA
GCCAGUCUCCUGGCCCCGGUUGGCUGGAAGAUUUCUCCCGGACCGCGUUUUGAACUCUCUGCUGAAGAACCUGACCGGUGACGUCUGGGUCCAGUCGCUCAUGCCGAAGCCCCCCACGAGCGGGACCGGGGCGUGGGGCUUAUGUGACACCCGAGUCUCCUAACCGUACUCAACAAGAUACACAUUCUACAGUAUGCUCUUUUUGACCUGGAUACUGUAUGGGAAGUCUUGGUCAAAUGAAAGACAAGCCAAAGCAAGGAGCGUCCCAGUCACAGGGGGGAAUGGCCCACAGAGGCAGUGGCAGGCAGAGGUGGGGAUCUGUUCCUCUGAAGGUCCUGUUCCUUCAGACACGCUCUGAAGGUGUCCUGAGCACAGACCACCACCCUCUUUUGGAUUUCCGAGGGAACCCGGGCACUAUAAUGCACCUGAGAGGUUGAAAGCCCUGUCUUCACCAAUACGACGAGUCUGGACACAGCAGUGCAAGCCCAUCAUUGGGAAACGUGCCAAAGAAUAUCCAGAAGAGAUCCCUAAAGGAGAACAUUUCUGGAGAGGCUAGACCCUUCAGUCAGUGUGGAAUAGAGAUGGUUGAAGCAGACUUCCUAUCCUUGGUCUGGAUCUCAAGAGGCAAGCAUUCACUCAAACACUACUAGAUGUCAUGUGACGAGAGCUGGAUGUUUCUCAUGGAUGUUCUUCAGUACAAUGACGACAAUCCCUUCUAUCCCGAGUUGGUUGACCAUGUUUAUUUACUUUUUUAUCACGAACGGGUCUUGAAUCAAAUGCUUUUUCUUUGUCUGUCA